GAUCCUGGCUCAGGACGAACGCUGGCGGCGCGCCUAACACAUGCAAGUCGAACGGAGCUGUUUUCUCUUGAAGUUUUUCGGGAUUGGAAGAGAGUUCAGCUUAGGUGGCGAACGGGUGAGUAACACGUGAGCAACCUGGCCUUUCAGUGGGGGACAACAUUUGGAAACGAAUGCUAAUACCGCAUAAGACCACAGUGUCGCAUGGCACAGGGUCAAAAGGAUUUAUCCGCUGAAAGAUGGGCUCGCG
rnacentral:rRNA from 1 species